UAUUCUUCCGAUCUCUUUUGGGUUUGCCGUCACGAGAAAAUAGCAUGCUCAAUCUGCCCCAUACUCUCUGGACUCUGCCGCCCCCCUCCCCCCCCUGUUCCCCGCCAGUUCGCUUUUGUCGUGCGUUUCUUGCGUUAAACGACUUUUCAUCUGAUUUCCCGUUUUUUUCCCGACAGUUCAUUAUUUCAAAGUAUAAAUCUCAGUAUUGUUUGUAAUUAGCGCCAUUUGACAGGAGACAUUCCCUGAGUGAGUAUCAGAUAUGCCGCUACUCAAUGUAAUUUCUCAUUUUGUGAAUUCGUAAAGUUCAUUCUCGUCGUGUGUAUUACUUUCGAAUUUGCGAAUUUACUUGUGUAAGAGCCUCUUUCUCUCUCUUUCUUUCUAUCUAUUUCUACUCUCACUCGUUGUGUGUCGAGCACUAUUACAUCGCUGAUUACGGAAGAUGGAUCUCGGAGACUGCUUGUUCUUGACCGGGGAUUCACAGUAAACGUCUUGAAAGUAGACCGUCGCACGCCUAAAAACGCCGAAUAGAUAAAUUAGAAAGAUUCGCCAGUAUCUCGCACAUUUCUUCUUAAUAAUAAUAUUACUCUUAAUUCUGAGAGAUUAGGUGUGAUUUCAAAAGAAUAAUCUUCCUCCGAAGAAGUUCAUUCCUCGAAUUGUGGCAGUCUCUUUUCAGACGUGCGAAGAUACGUUUUGUUGAAUGCGCUUCUUAUUUUGCAUCGUUAUCACUCGACCACCGAUAGCUCCCGAUUAGAAAUUCUGGGAGGAGCAGACUCCGUAGUAAAACGAAUACGUCGAAUUUCUUUCUACCGUUUCCUUCCGUUUUCUUCUUUCUUUUCGUCGUAACUCUUUAAUACGUGUGCAUGAUUGCUGAGAAGAGUCAAUAAGGAGUAUUGAUCUAUGUCGGAUUUUCUUUUAGAAGAAGACCUCGACUAAGCGGAAACGCCAGUCGUCCGAGAGCUCCACAGACAGCUAUACCGAGAGACCGAAGAAGUCGAUGAAGCACGAGAGAGCCGAGAAGGAGAAAGAGAAGCUUCCGAGAAACGAGAUGACCGAGAGCGCGACCCGGGUGCAGCCGGGGACAACACAGGAUAUGUUGUACAAGAUAAAAAAACCUUAGAGUAGAAAAAACAUUGCAUUAUCUUAUAAGUUGAUAAAGUUUUACAAGAAAAUCUCAGAGUAUUACAGAUUCUAGAAGAGACUUCAAAAAGAUCUAGAAAGGCGGGUGGAUGAUAAUUGUAUCAAUUUGUUCAAACUAAAUAAAUAAUAUUUUCCAAAAUUUGUAAACAAGCAAAACCAAUUAAGGACCAAAAUUUCAGUAAAUUGAGUUUGUUAUAUUAAGUAAUAUCAGCAAGCAAUUGAAAUGUUAUCAAUCCAUAUUCAAUAAUAUAUUUGAGUUGAGUUCU